CCUACGGGUGGCAGCAGUCGAGAAUCAUUCACAAUGGGGGAAACCCUGAUGGUGCGACGCCGCGUGGGGGAAUGAAGGUCUUCGGAUUGUAAACCCCUGUCAUGUGGGAGCAAAUUAACAAGAUAGUACCACAAGAGGAAGAGACGGCUAACUCUGUGCCAGCAGCCGCGGUAAUACAGAGGUCUCAAGCGUUGUUCGGAAUCACUGGGCGUAAAGGGUGCGUAGGCGGGUUCGUAAGUCGUGUGUGAAAGGCGCGGGCUCAACCCGCGGACGGCACAUGAUACUGGGAGACUUGAGUAAUGGAGGGGGAAGCGGAAUGCGAGGUGUAGCAGUGAAAUGCGUAGAUAUCGAGAGGAACACUGGUGGCGAAGGCGGGUUACUGGACAUUAACUGACGCUGAGGCACGAAGGCGAGGGGAGCGAACGGGAUUAGAUACCCUUGUAGUC
rnacentral:rRNA from 1 species